UGCCUCAGUAACGGCGAGUGAAGCGGUAACAGCUCAAAUUUGAAAGCUGCCAACAGGCCGCGUUGUAAUUUGUAGAAGAUGCUUUGGGUGUUGGCCUAGUCUAAGUUCCUUGGAACAGGACGUCAUAGAGGGUGAGAAUCCCGUAUGUGAUUAGUGCUAUCCCCCGUGUAAAGCUCUUUCGACGAGUCGAGUUGUUUGGGAAUGCAGCUCAAAAUGGGUGGUAAAUUUCAUCUAAAGCUAAAUAUUGGCCAGAGACCGAUAGCGCACAAGUAGAGUGAUCGAAAGAUGAAAAGCACUUUGGAAAGAGAGUUAAACAGUACGUGAAAUUGUUGAAAGGGAAGCGCUUGCAAUCAGACUUGCGGGCGGUUGAUCAUCCGAGGUUCUCCCCGGUGCACUCGAUCGUCCUCAGGCCAGCAUCGGUUUUAGUGGUGGGAUAAAGGCUGUGAGAAUGUGGCUCUUCGGGGUGUUAUAGCUCACGGUGCAAUGCCGCCUACUGGGACCGAGGACCGCGCUUCGGCUAGGAUGCUGGCGUAAUGGUUGUAAGCGACCCGUCUUGAAACACGGACCAAGGAGUCUAACAUCUAUGCGAGUGUUUGGGUGUUAAACCCAUACGCGUAAUGAAAGUGAACGGAGGUAAGAACCCUUCAGGGUGCAUUAUCGACCGAUCCUGAUGUCUUCGGAUGGAUUUGAGUAAGAGCAUAGCUGUUGGGACCCGAAAGAUGGUGAACUAUGCGUGAAUAGGGUGAAGCCAGAGGAAACUCUGGUGGAGGCUCGCAGCGGUUCUGACGUGCAAAUCGAUCGUCAAAUUUGCGUAUAGGGGCGAAAGACUAAUCGAACCAUUGCUUUAGGGCAUGAGUUGCUAGGUGGUUAAGAGAUGACCGAAAUCGUACAUCUAGUCCCUGCCAGGGGCAACACUCUCAAAUUGUUACGGGGACAUCCUGCCAACUUCUAAGCUACCGCCAUUCUUUGAAAGGGGAGUUGGCACCAGGUUAAUGACCUCGGGUAUGGUAAUAACGCUUAGAUAGGGAUAAUCCGCAGCCAAGUCCUAAGGAUGUAAUAUCUAUGGAUGCAGUUCACAGGCUAAAUGUGAGUGGGCUUCACUUCAGAAGAGUGAAGUUUAAGUUAUAGUCGGACCACCGGGAGACCGGUCUAGCAAGUGGAAGUGUGCGAAGGCGGCCCUAUUUUAUAGGCUUUGCACAUGAGACGCUGCUAGGGACGUCAACCUUAGGGUUGGAUCGUCUGGAGGAAUCGCUAGUAGCUGGUUCCUGUCGAAGUUUCCCUCAGGAUAGCAGUGUUGUUUUCAGUUUUAUGAGGUAAAGCGAAUGAUUAGAGGCCUUGGGGUUGAAACAACCUUAACCUAUUCUCAAACUUUAAAUAUGUAAGAAGUCCUUGUUGCUUAAUUGAACGUGGACAUUCGAAUGCACCAACACUAGUGGGCCAUUUUUGGUAAGCAGAACUGGCGAUGCGGGAUGAACCGAACGUGGAGUUAAGGUGCCGGAAUCUACGCUCAUCAGACACCACAAAAGGUGUUAGUUCAUCCAGACAGCAGGACGGUGGCCAUGGAAGUCGGAAUCCGCUAAGGAAUGUGUAACAACUCACCUGCCGAAUGAACUAGCCCUGAAAAUGGAUGGCGCUUAAGCGUAGUACCCAUACUCCACCGCCCAUGUAGAAACGAUGCGUGGGCGAGUAGGCAGGCGUGGGG
rnacentral:rRNA from 1 species